rnacentral:rRNA from 1 species
UACAGAGGGGGCCAGCGUUAUUCGGAAUUAUUGGGCGUAAAGGGCGCGUAGGCGGCCAUGCGUGUCUUCCGUGAAAUCCCUCGGCUUAACCGAGGAACUGCCCUCCAAACUGCUUGGCUUGAGUCCGGGAGAGGUGAGUGGAAUUCCCAGUGUAGCGGUGAAAUGCGUAGAUAUUGGGAGGAACACCAGUGGCGAAGGCGGCUCACUGGACCGGAACUGACGCUGAGGCGCGAAAGCGUGGGGAGCAAACGGGG